AACCAUAGAAACCUGCGGAGUACCUGCGGAAGGAUCAUUACCGAGUUAUACAACUCAUCAACCCCUGUGAACUUACCUACAACGUUGCUUCGGCGGGAACAGACGGCCCCGUAAAACGGGCCGCCCCCGCCAGAGGACCCCUAACUCUGUUUUUAUAAUGUCUUUCUGAGUAAACAAGCAAAUAAAUUAAAACUUUUAGCAAUGGAUCU
rnacentral:misc_RNA from 1 species